rnacentral:rRNA from 1 species
AGCUCUAAUAGCGUAUAUUAAAGUUGUUGCGGUUAAAAAGCUCGUAGUUGAAUCUUCUUUCAUCUCGCUUAUGUCCGUCUCAUCGAGGCGUUGUGCAUGACGAGGUGAAGAAAUUUGUUAUUAAUAACGUACGUAAAUGAUUUAGUUUGUUUAUGUCCAAAAAGUAUUACCUCGUGUAAUAUUUACGUUUUAAUUCUUUUACUUUGAGUAAAUUAGAGUGUUCAAAGCAGAUGAAAGUAAUUCGAUCGCUGAAUACAUUAGCAUGGGAUAAUGGAAUAGGACUUUGGUUCUAUUUUGUUGGUUUCUAGAGCCGAAGUAAUGAUUAAUAGGGACAGUUGGGGGCAUUAGUAUUUAAUUGUCAGAGGUGAAAUUCUUGGAUUUAUUAAAGACUAACUACUGC